AGCAGUGGGGAAUAUUGCACAAUGGGCGCAAGCCUGAUGCAGCCAUGCCGCGUGUGUGAAGAAGGCCUUCGGGUUGUAAAGCACUUUCAGCGGGGAGGAAGGCGUUAAGGUUAAUAACCUUGGCGAUUGACGUUACCCGCAGAAGAAGCACCGGCUAACUCCGUGCCAGCAGCCGCGGUAAUACGGAGGGUGCAAGCGUUAAUCGGAAUUACUGGGCGUAAAGCGCA
rnacentral:rRNA from 1 species